GCCCUCGCCCUCGCCCUCGCGCCCUCGCGCCGGGGGCGGGCUCGCUGCGCGUGCCGGGCGGGGAAGCGGCGCGAGCCGGCGCCGGGAACCUUCGCCGCGGGGGCGGCUCCGGGGCCUGAGUGGGCGCCGCCGCCGCCGCCACCUCAGUCGCUGCCGCUGCUUCAGCCGCCUCAGCCGAGGGGGCCGGGUCGGAGGAGGCUGCGGCCGCCGGAGAGCCACGCGACGGCCCCUCAGCUCCGGCCGGGAAGCGAGCCAGUGUUUGCAAUUAAAAAUAAAGCCAGUUGGAGCUAGUUGUGGUGGAGCACAUCUUUAAUCCCAGCACCUUCCAGCACCAGGAUGAUCGAGGAAGGUGGGAACAAGCGGAAGACAAUGGCGGAGAAGAGGCAGCUCUUCAUAGAAAUGCGUGCUCAGAAUUUUGAUGUCAUACGACUAUCAACAUACAGAACAGCUUGCAAGUUACGAUUUGUACAGAAGCGAUGCAACCUUCAUCUUGUUGAUAUCUGGAACAUGAUUGAAGCUUUCCGAGACAAUGGCCUUAACACACUGGACCACACCACGGAGAUCAGCGUGUCCCGCCUGGAGACCGUCAUCUCUUCCAUCUACUAUCAGUUGAACAAGCGCCUUCCUUCUACUCACCAAAUCAGCGUGGAGCAGUCCAUCAGUCUCCUCCUCAACUUCAUGAUCGCCGCCUAUGACAGUGAGGGCCGAGGCAAGUUGACCGUGUUUUCAGUUAAAGCUAUGUUAGCAACCAUGUGUGGUGGGAAAAUGCUGGACAAAUUGAGAUACAUUUUCUCCCAGAUGUCAGAUUCCAAUGGCUUAAUGAUGUUUGGCAAGCUUGACCAGUUUCUGAAGGAAGCCCUGAAGCUCCCAACAGCUGUCUUUGAAGGGCCAUCUUUCGGUUACACAGAGCACGCAGUCCGGACCUGUUUUCCGCAGCAGAAGAAGAUAAUGCUGAAUAUGUUUUUAGACACCAUGAUGGCCGACCCUCCUCCCCAGUGCCUUGUCUGGCUACCUCUCAUGCACAGGCUUGCCCAUGUGGAGAAUGUCUUCCAUCCUGUGGAAUGUUCCUACUGUCACUGCGAGAGCAUGAUGGGCUUCCGAUACCGGUGUCAGCAGUGCCACAGCUACCAGCUCUGCCAGAACUGCUUUUGGCGUGGCCAUGCCAGUGGCCCUCACAGCAACCAGCACCAGAUGAAGGAGCAUUCCUCUUGGAAAUCCCCUGCAAAGAAGCUGAGCCAUGCAAUUAGUAAAUCUUUGGGAUGUGUACCCUCCAGAGAACCCCCACAUCCUGUUUUUCCUGAGCAACCAGAGAAACCACUUGACCUUGCACAUAUAGUUCCUCCUCGCCCUCUGACCAAUAUGAAUGACACCGUGGUUAGCCACAUGUCCUCUGGAGUGCCCACUCCCACUAAGAGGUUACAGCAUAGCCAAGACAUGCGCAGUCUCUUGGCCGAUGAGCAUGCGCUGAUAGCCUCCUAUGUGGCCCGUCUGCAACACUGCACACGUGUCCUGGACAGUCCUAGCCGACUGGAUGAAGAACACCGGCUUAUAGCCCGCUAUGCUGCCCGGCUAGCUGCAGAGGCAGGAAACAUGACUCGUCCUCCCACUGAUGCCAGCUUCAACUUUGAUGCCAACAAACAACAGAGACAGCUCAUCGCAGAACUGGAGAACAAGAACAGAGAGAUCCUGCAGGAGAUCCAGCGUCUGCGGCUGGAGCACGAACAGGCUUCCCAGCCCACUCCUGAGAAGGCCCAGCAGAACCCCACGCUGCUGGCAGAGCUGCGCUUGCUGAGGCAAAGGAAAGAUGAGCUAGAGCAGAGGAUGUCAGCGCUGCAGGAGAGUAGGCGGGAGCUGAUGGUGCAGCUGGAGGGACUGAUGAAGCUGCUAAAGGAGGAAGAGCAAAAGCAGGCAGCUCAAGCCGCCGGGUCACCACACACAUCACCCACCCAUGGAAGUGGCCGCCCUAUGCCCAUGCCUGUGCGUUCCACGUCUGCUGGCUCCACCCCGACCCACGGCCCACAGGACUCACUGAGUGGAGUUGGGGGAGACGUACAGGAGGCCUUUGCACAAGGUACGAGGAGAAACCUCCGCAAUGACCUGCUGGUGGCUGCUGACUCCAUCACCAACACCAUGUCCUCCCUGGUGAAGGAGCUCCACUCAGGAGAGAUUACACAUGUAUCCUGAUUGGCUUUCACAGCUCAGGUUAGCCCAGGAACAGCCAGGACGCAGGAAGCUCAGGCGCAGAGGCAGAGGAGCAAGCUGGCACCGAGAGGACAAGGGAAGGUCUUCCCCCAGAGGCACAUUCCGAUCCGUCUUUCUGCUGCACACCUGGACCAAGCUCGCAGGCUGCCAGACUCAUUCACCCUCCUGAGAGAGGAGCCAAGCCUGUGGGAGUGGGGCGGGGCUGCCUGAGGCCGCAGCUGCUGGGCCUCCUGCAUGCACUAGCAUCUGCAUUCCUCCCUCAGGGCAUGGGCUCACCUCUGCAUCAGGAAUUUACCAGGAGAUGGAAAAGAAAAGAAAAAGUGCUGA